rnacentral:tRNA from 1 species
GCCUGGGUGGCUCAGUCGGUUGAGCAUCUGACUUCAGAUCAGGUCAUGAUCUCGCGGUUAGUGGGUUCGAGCCCCACAUCUGGCU